CCUACGGGCCGCAGCAGUAAGGAAUAUUGGUCAAUGGGCGGAAGCCUGAACCGGCCAUGCCGCGUGCAGGAUGACUGCCCUAUGGGUUGUAAACUGCUUUUGUCCAGGAAUAAACCUAAAUACGUGUAUUUAGCUGAAUGUACUGGAAGAAUAAGGAUCGGCUAACUCCGUGCCAGCAGCCGCGGUAAUACGGAGGAUCCGAGCGUUAUCCGGAUUUAUUGGGUUUAAAGGGUGCGUAGGCGGCCUGUUAAGUCAGGGGUGAAAUACGGUGGCUCAACCAUCGCAGUGCCUUUGAUACUGAUGGGCUUGAAUCCAUUUGAAGUGGGCGGAAUAAGACAAGUAGCGGUGAAAUGCAUAGAUAUGUCUUAGAACUCCGAUUGCGAAGGCAGCUCACUAAGCUGGUAUUGACGCUGAUGCACGCAAGCGUGGGGAUCGAACAGGAUUAGAUACCCCCGUAGUC
rnacentral:rRNA from 1 species